rfam:Xenopus tropicalis strain Nigerian scaffold_7963_contig_1, whole genome shotgun sequence.
ACAAAGGCUCUUCUAAGAGCCCCCACUCUCUCCCUAUAAGAUCUGU